rnacentral:rRNA from 1 species
UACGUAGGGUGCGAGCGUUGUCCGGAAUUACUGGGCGUAAAGAGCUCGUAGGUGGUUUGUCGCGUUGUUCGUGAAAACUCACAACUCAAUUGUGGGCGUGCGGGCGAUACGGGCAGACUGGAGUACUGCAGGGGAGACUGGAAUUCCUGGUGUAGCGGUGGAAUGCGCAGAUAUCAGGAGGAACACCGGUGGCGAAGGCGGGUCUCUGGGCAGUAACUGACGCUGAGGAGCGGAAGCGUGGGGAGCGAUCCGG